AUGUGAAAGCCUUCAGCUUAACCGGAGUAGUGCAUUGGAAACUGGGAGACUGGAGUGAGGAAGAGGGGAGUGGAACUCCAUGUGUAGCGGUGAAAUGCGUAGAUAUAUGGAAGAACACCAGUGGCGAAAGCGGCUCUCUGGUCUGUAACUGACACUGAGGUUCGAAAGCGUGGGUAGCAAACAG
rnacentral:rRNA from 1 species